AAAAUGUGUUGGUCUUUUAGCUCUUUUGUAAUUAAAUCUGGAUGUACCUCAAAAGAAUCUUAAUACUGUGGUGAUAAGAUACUUUCCUC
rnacentral:lncRNA from 1 species